AGCCAGACUCCUACGGGAGGCAGCAGUGGGGAAUAUUGCACAAUGGGGGAAACCCUGAUGCAGCGACGCCGCGUGAGUGAAGAAGUAUUUCGGUAUGUAAAGCUCUAUCAGCAGGGAAGAAAAUGACGGUACCUGACUAAGAAGCCCCGGCUAACUACGUGCCAGCAGCCGCGGUAAUACGUAGGGGGCAAGCGUUAUCCGGAUUUACUGGGUGUAAAGGGAGCGUAGACGGCAUGGCAAGUCAGAUGUGAAAGCCCGGGGCUCAACCCCGGGACUGCAUUUGAAACUGUCAGGCUGGAGUGCAGGAGAGGUAAGUGGAAUUCCUAGUGUAGCGGUGAAAUGCGUAGAUAUUAGGAGGAACACCAGUGGCGAAGGCGGCUUACUGGACUGUAACUGACGUUGAGGCUCGAAAGCGUGGGGAGCAAACAGGAUUAGAUACCCCUGUA
rnacentral:rRNA from 1 species